AUUGAACGCUGGCGGCAUGCCUUACACAUGCAAGUCGAACGGUAACAGGUCUUCGGAUGCUGACGAGUGGCGAACGGGUGAGUAAUACAUCGGAACGUGCCCAGACGUGGGGGAUAACGAGGCGAAAGCUUUGCUAAUACCGCAUACGAUCUAAGGAUGAAAGCAGGGGACCGCAAGGCCUAGCGCGUUUGGAGCGGCCGAUGGCAGAUUAGGUAGUUGGUGGGAUAAAAGCUUACCAAGCCGACGAUCUGUAGCUGGACUGAGAGGACGACCAGCCACACUGGGACUGAGACACGGCCCAGACUCCUACGGGAGGCAGCAGUGGGGAAUUUUGGACAAUGGGCGAAAGCCUGAUCCAGCAAUGCCGCGUGCAGGAUGAAGGCCUUCGGGUUGUAAACUGCUUUUGUACGGAACGAAAAGGCUCUGGCUAAUACCUGGGGCACAUGACGGUACCGUAAGAAUAAGCACCGGCUAACUACGUG
rnacentral:rRNA from 1 species